rnacentral:rRNA from 1 species
GACGAACGCUGGCGGCGUGCCUAAUACAUGCAAGUCGAGCGAAUCAAUAGGAGCUUGCUCCUGUUGAUUAGCGGCGGACGGGUGAGUAACACGUGGGCAACCUGCCUGUAAGACUGGGAUAACACCGGGAAACCGGUGCUAAUACCGGAUAAUCCUUUUCCUCUCAUGAGGGAAAGCUGGAAGUCGGUUUCGGCUGACACUUACAGAUGGGCCCGCGGCGCAUUAGCUAGUUGGUGAGGUAACGGCUCACCAAGGCGACGAUGCGUAGCCGACCUGAGAGGGUGAUCGGCCACACUGGGACUGAGACACGGCCCAGACUCCUACGGGAGGCAGCAGUAGGGAAUCUUCCACAAUGGACGAAAGUCUGAUGGAGCAACGCCGCGUGAGCGAUGAAGGCCUUCGGGUCGUAAAGCUCUGUUGUUAGGGAAGAACAAGUACCGGAGUAACUGACGGUACCUUGACGGUACCUAACCAGAAAGCCACGGCUAACUACGUGCCAGCAGCCGCCGUAACAC